UUGAUUUCAUUGGUUUCCUUUUUGUUAUUUUCCUUUCUCCACUUUCUCUCUCCCUCUCUCUCUCUUUCUGGAUCCGUGUGCUUUCUCUUUUAUGCGUUCUCUGUCUCUCUUCCGAUUCUAAAUGCAGAAGUGGGGCUAAGAAUGGUGAAGUAACAUGUAAAAAGAUGACAGCUUGGGCAUCACUAUCACUUUAAUUGGAUACUACAAAAUACUGGACAAGAUGCACCUUGCUAGAGCGUGCGCGGAUGGAAACUCAGUGGUAAGGUGGAAGGAGCCUGUAGCGAGGAUGUUUCUACCUAGAUUAUACAUUUUUGGAGUUUGUAUCGUAUGAGUAGCGUAGCACCAGUCAUCAUCUUCAGAUUUCAACUCUGGAAGACCGCCUGUAAUGUGGAGACUAAUAUGGUAUUGGUGCUGUGGAAGGCAAGGAGUGCACCAAUGCUGGGAAAAGGACGGUUAGUAGCUUAUCUCACCAUGAAGGUCAUGAGGUAUUAUUUUUUCUAACGACCCGAUCGGUCGCUUUGAGCUCUAGCGCAUCGUUCAGCGGUUUGAGGCCUUAAGUAGCUUCACUUCAGGU